GUCAUAGCCUAACGGCUGAACCAGCAACUUGGAGGAAUGUAUAGCAAUUGCUAUUUGCAUUAAAAGUUUUUAGUGUAAAAUCGACUUUGUCGAAUAAAAUUCUGGGUAGAAUUAUGAUAAUGACAUUACCUACUCAUAAGUCUUGACCAAAUUACGUGCCAGCAGUCGCGGUAAUACGUAGAAGACAAGUGUUAUUCAUCUUUAAUAGGUUUAAAGGGUACUUAGACGGUAAAUAAAGCCUCCAAAAGGUACUAGUUUGCUAGAGUUUUAUAUGAAGGAGUUUUAAAGUACUACUGGUGUAGAGAUGAAAUUCAGUUAUACCUUACAUGGCACAGGUUAAGGCGAAAGCAUCUUCUUAUGUAAAAACUGACGUUGAAGGACGAAGGCUUUGUGUCUCGAACAGGAUUAGAUACCCUAGUAGUCUAAGCAGAAAAUGAUGAAUGUCAUAGAUUAGAUUUAAUUUGAUCUGUAAAUGAAAGUGUAAGCAUUCCACCUCAAGAGUAAUUUGGCAACAUUGGAACUGAAAUCAUUAGACCGUUUCUGAAACCAGUAGUGAAGUAUGUUGUUUAAUUUGAUAAUCCGCAAAAAACCUUACCACAAUUUGAAUAGAUAUAUUUUAUCAUACAAGCGUUGCACGGCUGUCUUCAGUUAAUGUCGUGAGACUUUGGUUAGUUCCAUUAAAUUAACGUAAACCCUUACUUUAUUUUUAUAUAAAGUAGUUCACCGCUAUAUUGGAUGUGAUAAUAGGGAUCAAGACAAGUCAUCAUGACC
rnacentral:rRNA from 1 species